GAAAAGAAAAGAAAGAAAAAAGAAAGAACGUGAAGUAAAGUGGGGAAAUAACGUGAAGGAAAAUUGAAAUUAUUUUCCCCUUUCUAUUUAAUUCGUUAAUUAAAAAUCUAAAAAAAAAUAAAUAAAGUUAAAUUAAUACCAAAAAGACAAAAAAUUAAAACAAAAUGCUCUCUUUUCUCACAUUGUGAUUUGAACACAAGAC
rnacentral:lncRNA from 1 species